rnacentral:rRNA from 1 species
UCUGAAUGGGGAAACCCACCGGUCUUCGGACCGGUACCGUACGGUGAAUACAUAGCCGUACGGGGCGAACUCGGGGAACUGAAACAUCUAAGUACCCGAAGGAAAGGACAUCAAUUGAGACUUCCUUAGUAGUGGCGAGCGAACGGGAACCAGGCCAGUGGCUUUAGUGAGACAACCGGAACCGUUUGGAAAGACGGGCCAUAGUGGGUGACAGCCCCGUACGGGUAAUUCGAACUUUAGUCCUCGAGUAGGGCGGGACACGUGAAAUCCUGUCUGAACAUGGGGGGACCACCCUCCAAGCCUAAAUACUCGUAUGUGACCGAUAGCGAACCAGUACCGUGAGGGAAAGGUGAAAAGCACCCCGACGAGGGGAGUGAAACAGUUCCUGAAACUGGAUGCCUACAAACAGUUGGAGCCCAAGGUUCGUCCUGGGUGACAGCGUACCUUUUGUAUAAUGGGUCAGCGACUUAAUCUAGCAAGCAAGCUUAAACCGUUAGGUGUAGGCGUAGCGAAAGCGAGUCUGAAUAGGGCGACGAGUUCGAGGGAUAAGACCCGAAACCGAGUGAUCUAGCCAUGUGCAGGUUG